UACAGAGGGUGCGAGCGUCAAUCGGAUUUACUGGGCGUAAAGGGCGCGUAGGCGGUCUUAUGAGUGUGAUGUGAAAGCCCCGGGCUCAACCUGGGAAGUGCAUCGCAAACGAUAAGACUGGAGUAUAUGAGAGGGUGGCGGAGUUUCCGGUGUAGCGGUGAAAUGCGUAGAGAUCGGAAGGAACGUCGAUGGCGAAGGCAGCCACCUGGCAUAAUACUGACGCUGAGGCGCGAGAGCGUGGGGAGCGAACAGG
rnacentral:rRNA from 1 species